rnacentral:rRNA from 1 species
CUGAGCAUUCGGUCACAAGGACGAACGUGCCGCAUGACUAAACGUAGCUCAGUUGCCUCCCACCGCCCGCACAGAGCCCACUUCCCCACCCAUUCCCGUAUCUUCUCCCCCCUCCCCCACACUCCUCACCACUACAUCUCAAAUCCCUCAUGGCGAGCUCCUGGACGGCGACCAAAGCGAGGGUGACGACGAGGGGAUGCUGGGUCGGCAUGGCUCCCCAUGGCCGCCGAGGGGACGAGCAGGCGGAGGUCCUCGACUACCUCAAAGAUGACGAGGAGGUCGGGGUUGAGGGGACGUCCUCAACGCGCCCGUAGAGGAGAGCCUCGUCGGAGGCAGGAUGGGAGGCCCAUGGUGGCUAAGGCUGGAGUGGGCGGAUCUGAGCUCGGCUGAUGAAGCACGCCGCCAUCGGGGGAGACGAGGAACAGGGAGACGACGAGCCCAGCAUCGGCAAGCUCAACGGAGGAGCCGCGUCGAGGAAGGCAAGGUGGGAAAGGAGCUCAGAGGAGCCGCUCCGAGAUGCGGCGGCUGCUUGGCGGUGCCCGAAGCGACGCGAGCGGGCACGUCCCGCGCUGAUGCGGACGAGACUGUCACGGCCUAGCUCGAGCGGCACCCGGCCACAGGGCCGAGAUGCGGUGGCUGUUGGCGUUGCCAGCGCGACGUCGACAGGCAUAUCACACACUGAUGCGAGCGCCCCCGCAUGGACCACGACCCUCCCAUCCAUCUUCAGGGUAACACUCCCUCCCUCCCUGUGUGCACCGACCGAUGGAUCUCUGCUGUUGCUACUGAAAUCCUCAUGUGUGUUUACUAAUUGAUGUAGGAAGUUGCUAGAUUAUUGCACUAUGUGAUUCGUCUGGUGCCUUUGAUUAAUUUUGUGUAGCACCGAAACUACUUAGAAUAUGCUUGUAGGGUGAUGAAUGAGAGAGCACCAGGUUUCAGACCUGUGAACUCUUUGUGGUUUCAGACUUGUGAUCUUUUUUAUCUUUGCAUGGCAAAUUUUACAAAAAAUUCCAUGGCAAUUUUGUAUAUGCAUUAGCCAUUGCAAGUUUUAUCUCUGUCCUUGUUCGUAAACACUGGCAUUUUGCCACAUAUGACUUUUCAUGUGAUUUUCCAUGGCACAUUCUUUAUCUAAAAACAUGGCAAACUUGCCAUGGAAACUUUACCAUGUUCGAAAACAUCACAAAUUUAUAGAUAUUCCAAAAACAUGGCAACUUAGUAUGUUC